UACGGGGGGGGCAAGCGUUGUUCGGAAUUACUGGGCGUAAAGGGCUCGUAGGUGGCCAACUAAGUCAGACGUGAAAUCCCUCAGCUUAACUGGGGAACUGCGUCUGAUACUGGAUGGCUUGAGUUUGGGAGAGGGAUGCGGAAUUCCAGGUGUAGCGGUGAAAUGCGUAGAUAUCUGGAGGAAUACCGGUGGCGAAGGCGGCAUCCUGGACCAUUACUGACGCUGAGGCGCGAAAGCUAGGGGAGCAAACGGG
rnacentral:rRNA from 1 species